rnacentral:rRNA from 1 species
CCUACGGGAGGCAGCAGUGGGGAAUAUUGGACAAUGGGGGGAACCCUGAUCCAGCCAUGCCGCGUGUGUGAAGAAGGCCCUCGGGUUGUAAAGCACUUUCAGUGAGGAAGAACGCCUGGUGGUUAAUACCCAUCAGGAAAGACAUCACUCACAGAAGAAGCACCGGCUAACUCCGUGCCAGCAGCCGCGGUAAUACGGAGGGUGCGAGCGUUAAUCGGAAUUACUGGGCGUAAAGCGCGCGUAGGUGGCUUGAUAAGCCGGUUGUGAAAGCCCCGGGCUCAACCUGGGAACGGCAUCCGGAACUGGCAAGCUAGAGUGCAGGAGAGGAAGGUAGAAUUCCCGGUGUAGCGGUGAAAUGCGUAGAGAUCGGGAGGAAUACCAGUGGCGAAGGCGGCCUUCUGGACUGACACUGACGCUGAGGUGCGAAAGCGUGGGUAGCAAACAGGAUUAGAUACCCUAGUAGUC